GAUGAACGCUAGCGGCAGGCUUAACACAUGCAAGUCGAGGGGCAGCGCGGGAUAGCAAUAUCCUGGCGGCGACCGGCGGAAGGGUGCGUAACGCGUGAGCGACAUGCCCGUUGCCCGGGGACAACCGGUGGAAACGCCGACUAAUCCCCGAUGGGAUAUUGUGCCGCAUGGCACGAUAUUGAAAGGUACGGCGGCGACGGAUUGGCUCGCGUCCGAUUAGCUUGUUGGCGGGGUAACGGCCCACCAAGGCUGCGAUCGGUAGGGGUUCUGAGAGGAAGGCCCCCCACAAUGGGACUGAGACACGGCCCAUACUCCUACGGGAGGCAGCAGUGAGGAAUAUUGGUCAAUGGGCGGAAGCCUGAACCAGCCAUGCCGCGUGCGGGAAGGAGGCCCUAUGGGCUGUGAACCGCUUUUGCCUGGGGGCAAUAAGGGCGUCGCGCACGUCCGAUGAGAGUACCAGGCGAAUAAGCAUCGGCUAACUCCGUG
rnacentral:rRNA from 1 species